GCAAGGGUUUGGACUUAUGGCAGGCCCCUCCCCCUGAACCUCUCAUAGUGUCCCAUGCUGGAGCAAACUGUGCCCACUGAAUA
rnacentral:snoRNA from 1 species